AUGAAGAGUUUGAUCCUGGCUCAGAAUGAACGUUGGCGGUGUGCUUAACACAUGCAAGUCGAGCGAGAGAGUCUCUUCGGAGAUGAGUAAAGCGGCGAACGGGUGAGUAACGCGUGAGGAUCUGCCUUUAAGUGAAGGAUACCCUUGAGAAAUUAAGGUUAAUACUGCAUACGUCCGUCAUUAACAUGACGGAGAAAGAUGGCUUAGGCUGUCGCUGAAAGAUGAACUUGCGUUCUAUUAGCUAGUUGGUGGGGUAAAGGCCUACCAAGGCGAUGAUGGAUAGCCGGCCUGAGAGGGUGAACGGCCACAUUGGAACUGAGAAACGGUCCAGACUCCUACGGGAGGCAGCAGUGAGGAAUAUUGCACAAUGGGCGAAAGCCUGAUGCAGCGACACCGCGUGAAGGAUGAAGGUCUUAGGAUUGUAAACUUCUGUUAAGUGGGAAAAAAGAAUCGCUUCAAAUAAAAGCGAGAGAUGAUGGUACCACUAGAGAAAGCACCGGCUAACUUCGUGCCAGCAGCCGCGGUAAUACGAGGGGUGCAAACGUUAUUCGGAAUUACUGGGUGUAAAGGGUACGUAGACGGCAUAUUAAGUUAAUUGUUAAAUUCCCCAGCUUAACUGGGGGUAGGCGGUUAAAACUAAUAAGCUAGAGGAUGAGAGAGAGAAGUGGAAUUCUCGGAGUAGCGGUAAAAUGCGUAGAUCUCGAGAGGAACACCGAUGGCGAAGGCAGCUUCUUGGCUCAUUUCUGACGUUGAGGUACGAAAGCGUGGGGAGCAAACAGGAUUAGAUACCCUGGUAGUCCACGCUGUAAACGAUGAUCACUAGACGUUAGGCUUGCUUGCAGGCUUAGUGUCGCAGCUAACGCGAUAAGUGAUCCACCUGGGGACUACGGUCGCAAGAUUAAAACUCAAAGGAAUUGACGGGGGUCCGCACAAGCGGUGGAACAUGUGGUUUAAUUCGUCACUACGCGAGAAACCUUACCUAGGCUUGACAUGCUUUUGACUGCUGCAGAAACGUAGCUUUCUAGACUUCGGUUUAGACAAUUGCACAGGUGCUGCAUGGCUGUCGUCAGCUCGUGUCGUGAGAUGUUUGGUUAAGUCCUCUAACGAGCGCAACUCCUACCGUUAGUUGCUAUUCCGUAAGGAAGCACUCUAGCGGGACUGCCUGGGAAACCAGGAGGAAGGUGGGAACGACGUCAAGUCAUCAUGGUCCUUAUGCCUAGGGCUACACACGUGUUACAAUGGUCGGUACAGAGAGUUGCAAACUAGUAAUAGUAAGCUAAUCUCUUAAAGCCGAUCUAAGUUCGGAUUGAGGUCUGCAACUCGACCUCAUGAAGUUGAAAUCGCUAGUAAUCGCGCAUCAGAACGGCGCGGUGAAUUCGUUCUCGGACCUUGUACACACCGCCCGUCACACCAUGAGAGUUUUUCAUACCCGAAGGCAUCUUAGCUAACCAUUUAUGGAGGCGGAUGACUAUGGUAAGGGAAGCGAUUGGGGUGAAGUCGUAACAAGGUAGCUGUAGGAGAACCUGCGGCUGGAUCACCUCCUUUC
rnacentral:rRNA from 2 species